GCUGAACUCACUGAGCUAUCAGAGAUAAGCACAGGCAGACUUGUUUACACAACUAGGCAAUGAUGUACCUUACCUUUACUGUAGGCUGGCAGUGGCUUCUUAAUUUUUGAACAGGAUUUUCAAAGUUCUCCAAAACUUUAGAAGCAUCUUCUGCAAACAGCUGACAAUGAGAACUUUUCCACUUUAUGAUGCAGAGGUUUUUCAGUCAGAGAACUGGGGCACUCUAGAUCCAGCCAGGGCUUUGAAAAAGAGAGACAACUGGAUCCCUUACUUAAAGGCAAUGUAACUUGUGAGCAAUUCAGUGGCAGCAACAUCCUUGGCUCGUGUCUCUGGAUCAAUGCCCUGUGCUGCUUGACCUCUGGACCUGUGAAACUGCUCUCUUGGGGAAAAAAUGCCAGCUCACCAGCAUGCUUUGAAACCCAGAGGAAAGAUUAACUUUGGCCCAAGUGAAGAUUGAGAUCAUGUAUAAACAUCCACGGUUUGAUCUCAAGCUUCAGUGUAUGUCAGCACCUACACAGAUGAAUGUAUGUGUUUGCAACUUCACCUCAAGCUGCUGAGGGACACAGUAAACCAAUAAGUAGGUUGAAUUUACGGUACAGCCACGUUGGGUGAGUAGGAGGUGAAAUCCAUAAUGGGAAACUUUGAUUAAAGCCUGCACAGGUUUACAGUGUUAAGAUGGGUUGCUACUAAUAUAAAAAUGAAGUCCAUGGAUGUUUUGUAAAUAGAAGGCCCGAUGUUCAAGAGAAAGCUAUAAUUUCCUCAGCAUAAGAAAUAAAAUGUUGGAAAAUUGCAGAGCUUCAUAUGUCAUGCCACAUCUGGUGUUGUUUGUGACAACUGGAAAUAAUAGUUGAGAGGCACGGAAGGUAAAUAAAAUGAUAGCUGUGAAUUGCUGCACUUAUAAUUAAAGAACAGCAUUUCAAAUCCUCAUGUUUUUCCUCUGGUCUAAAAAUCUGCCUCAGCUUUCCUCUAUAUACUGCCACAGGAUAUUUUCUUUCUCUGAGCUUUGAUUUCAGAGGCUGCAAGUUGGGAAGUUUAAUUAGCUAGCUUUUGUAACUUGUCUUUUAGUCCACAAUUGGAAGUUUGGGGUUUGGUGCAAUAGGCUACUGUUGUGCUGCUGUUGCCACUGGUGCUACCAUAUUGCUAGCAAUAAAAAUGGAACAUUGUCAGCAUCAUUGGAGCUCAAGUUUUGUUUUGAAUGAAUAUGAAAGACUCAAAAUAAUUUUUGCAUGAAUGAUUCAUCAAGAGUGGGUAUAGAGAUAAUUGAUUUGAAAACCUGUAAAUAUAUAUAUGUAUAUGUAUAGAGAGAAGUUUUUCCAGCUUAUGUUUAAAUAAAGAAUAGUUGAUUUUUGACUUGUACUCUAACUAUAUGUGGAUUUUAUUGGCUAAUGUCACUUGUGUUUAUUUAUAAGUUUUAGGCAGAUGCCCAGAGGGAAUACACCCACAAGGCUUGUUUGCUUCUGUUAGAAGCUUCCCCCACGUCCGACAGAGUCAAUGCCAGCUGGGUCCAAGAUGGACCCACUGCUGGUCAGUGCUGAGCCCAGCAGUGACGGUGGUAGCACCUCCGGGAUUAAAGAUUUAAGAAGGAGGAAAAAAACCUGUGCAACAGUAACUGCGUUCAGAGAGAGGAGUGAGAAGAAACAGCCCUGCAGAUACCAGAGUCAGUGUAGAAGAAGGGGGAGGAAGUGCCUCAGGCAUCAGAGCAGAGGUUCCCCUGCAGCCCAUUGUGCAGAUUAUGGUGAGACAGGUUGUCCCGCUGCAGCCCAUGGAGGUCCAUGGGGGAACAGAGAUCCACCUGCAGAACCUGGAGCACCCCACACUGGAGAAGGUGAAUGCCAAAAGGAGGCUGUGAUCCCAUGAAAAGCCUGUGCUGGAGCAGGCUCCUGGUAGGACCUGUGGCCUCAUGGGGACAGGAGCCCACACUGGAGCAGGUGUGUUGGCAGGACUUCUGAUGCUGCAGGGGACCUAUGCUAGAGCAGCCUGUUCAUAAUGGACUGCACCCCAUGGAAGGGACACGUGCUGGAGCAGUUUGAAAAGAACUGCAACCUGUGGGAAGGACUCAGGUUGGAGAAGUUUGUGGAGGACUGUUUCCUGUGGGAGGGAAGAGGGGAAGAGCAUGAGCUGUCCUCCCACUGAAAAGGAAGGAGUGGCAAAGAUAACAUGUGAUGAACUGAUUGUAACUCCCAUUCUCCAUCCUUCUGCCCCACUGGUCAGGGGAGAUAGAGAAAAUCAGGACUGAAAUUGAGACCAGGAAGAAGGGAGGGGUGGGAGGAAGCUGUUUUAAGAUUUGAUUUUA